UGAGCACAUGCCUCCUCUUGGCCCUGCUUUCUCCAGGAACAAUGAAAUAUUUUGCAUUUCAACCUCUGUACUGCAGACACGUGUUUAACAGUACUGGACUUACAUAUGAUCACUAUGUAAAAAAACCUUGUAACUUGCACGAAGAUUCCUGUGUUGCCAGUGUUCUGCGUACAAAUAUAGCAUUACCUCUGCACUGCAGAUACGCGUCUAACAGGACUGGACUGACAUAUGAUGGCUAUGUAGAAAAAACUUGUAACUUGGAAGACAAUUCCUGUGCUUCCAGUGUUCUGCGUACAAAUCUAGUGAAAUUCCAAGGGCAACUUUUGAAUCAAUGCUCGCGAUCCAGCAUUUGUUAUCCAGGCCAUUACAGCUUCACUGCAGCGAAUGGUGAAUUCUUUGAGAUGAAGAUGCAAUGCUGCAACACUGAACUGUGUAAUAAUGAAACUCUCAG
rnacentral:lncRNA from 1 species